AGGAAGUCCUGUGCGAGGCAGCCAACGGCCACGCUGCUCGUAUCCGACGGGGAAUUCUCACAGGAGACGAGGGGGAAAAGGGUUGGGGCGGAUGCACUCCUGAGGAGACAGUGACCAGGGUGCCACGGCCCCAGAGAUCGAAGUACCAGUAGCACAGCGUGUCUCUCGCACAGUAAUACACGGCCGUGUCCUCAGAUCUCAGGCUGCUCAGCUCCAUGUAGACUGUGCUCGUGGACGUGUCCCUGGUCAUGGUGACUCUGCCCUGGAACUUCUGUGCGUAGCUUGUGCUACCACCACUAGGGUUGAUUAUUCCCAUCCACUCAAGCCCUUGUCCAGGGGCCUGUCGCACCCAGUGCAUAUAGUAGCUGGUGAAGGUGUAUCCAGAUGCCUUGCAGGAAACCUUCACUGAGGCCCCAGGCUUCUUCACCUCAGCCCCAGACUGCAC
rnacentral:lncRNA from 1 species